GGAGGGGUUCGGAUGCACCAGGACGGCUACUGAGGUUGUCUGGAGUUUAAAAGGUGACAUGUGGUCCAACAGAUCUGUUUGCUUUUUCCCAGCUUCUUCAGAGAUCUAGUUUUUAGUGUUUCUCAGCGAACAAGUACGUCGAAAGACAUGUGUACCACACCACUGCUCGGUGCCCUCAGAGAUCAAGAGAAGGCAUUGGAUCCCUGAAAAAGAAAUUCCUUAUGGUAGUAAACCACCAUAUGGAUGCUGGGAAUGGAACCCAGGAACUCCGGAAAAGCAAUAAUUGCUCAGAACUGCUGAGCCAUCUCUCCAGCCCCAGGCUUGAACACUUGAUCUUCCUGCUUCCCCUUCCCUAGUAUUGGGAUUAUUGGCAUGUAACACCUUGCCUAAUUUAUGUAAUGCUGAAAUCAAACAGGGGUUGUGCAUGCUGAACAAUAAAUAUGUUACAACAAAA